ACCUUUUCCCUCCUCCACUGUUAAUUUUCUCCCCUCAUAACCCACAAAUUCUUUGUGUAGGCACUAGUUUGCAGGGAUUCAGAGUCUCCCUUCAAACAGCUUAUCUAAAGCGACUUGACAUCCCAAAUCAUUGCUGCACGUCUUAAAGCAACUUGAUAUGCCAGUCACUGUAGCAAAAAAGUGAAAAUUAUCUUCAUUCAGAAUGGGUCCUCUUCUUCUCACAAAGUUCGUCCGUGAAUAUUUACUACGAGGAAUGACAAAAAGUGAUGCGAAAUUUCUGUUCUAUGAUUGAGGAAGUUGCUCAGAAAACUUAAGUGCGUAUGUCGAAGGAGCAUGCCAGCAGUUAGUAAGCCGCAGGAAUGCUUAUGCUAUUGAGAGGAAAACUCGAUGGAUAUUCUGAUGGUUGGGACAUCAUAGACCACAUCUCGUAUGCACGAUGGUUUGGAGUCUCAGUAUGUGAAAACUGCUGCUUGUUUUCUAACAGUAAAGGUGCAACAUCCUUGUUUGUUUCGCCA